rnacentral:rRNA from 1 species
UACAGAGGUGGCAACCGUUGUUCGGAAUCACUGGGCUUAAAGCGCAUGUAGGCGGAAUUGCAAGUCAGUUGUGAAAGCCCAUGACUUACUCAUGGAAUGGCAACUGAAACUACGGUCCUUGAGUGCGGGAGGGGAGAGUGGAACUCCCAGUGGAGCGGUGAAAUGCGUUGAUAUUGGGAGGAACACCGGUGGCGAAAGCGUCUCUCUAGUCCGCUACUGACGCUGAGAUGCGAAAGCUAGGGGAGCAAACGGG